GGUCUAUUGGCUCAAUGGUAGAGCGUCGGACUCCUAAUCCGAAGGUUGUGGGUUCGAGUCCCAUGUAGAUCG
rfam:Aspergillus carbonarius ITEM 5010 unplaced genomic scaffold ASPCAscaffold_6, whole genome shotgun sequence.